rnacentral:rRNA from 4 species
CAAACGACUCUCGGCAACGGAUAUCUCGGCUCACGCAUCGAUGAAGAACGUAGCAAAAUGCGAUACUUGGUGUGAAUUGCAGAAUCCCGUGAACCAUCGAGUUUUUGAACGCAAGUUGCGCCCAAAGCCAUUUGGUUGAGGGCACGUCUGCCUGGGCGUCACAC